AUUGAACGCUGGCGGCAGGCUUAACACAUGCAAGUCGAGCGGGGUGAUGGUGCUUGCACUAUCACUUAGCGGCGGACGGGUGAGUAAUGCUUAGGAAUCUGCCUAUUAGUGGGGGACAACAUCUCGAAAGGGGUGCUAAUACCGCAUACGUCCUACGGGAGAAAGCAGGGGAUCUUUAUGACCUUGCGCUAAUAGAUGAGCCUAAGUCGGAUUAGCUAGUUGGUGGGUAAAGGCCUACCAAGGCGACGAUCUGUAGCGGGUCUGAGAGGAUGAUCCGCCACACUGGGACUGAGACACGGCCCAGACUCCUACGGAGGCAGCAGUGGGGAAUAUUGGACAAUGGGGGGAACCCUGAUCCAGCCAUGCCGCGUGUGUGAAGAAGGCCUUAUGGUUGUAAAGCACUUUAAGCGAGGAGGAGGCUCUUUUGGUUAAUACCCAGAAUGAGUGGACGUUACUCGCAGAAUAAGCACCGGCUAACUCUGUGCCAGCCGCCGCCGUAA
rnacentral:rRNA from 1 species